CAGUAGCCGACCUGAGAGGGUGAUCGGCCACAUUGGAACUGAGACACGGUCCAAACUCCUACGGGAGGCAGCAGUGGGGAAUAUUGCACAAUGGGCGAAAGCCUGAUGCAGCAACGCCGCGUGAGUGAUGAAGGCCUUCGGGUCGUAAAACUCUGUCCUCAAGGAAGAUAAUGACGGUACUUGAGGAGGAAGCCCCGGCUAACUACGUGCCAGCAGCCGCGGUAAUACGUAGGGGGCUAGCGUUAUCCGGAUUUACGGGGCGUAAAGGGUGCGUAGGCGGUCUUUCAAGUCAGGAGUGAAAGGCUACGGCUCAACCGUAGUAAGCUCUUGAAACUGGGAGACUUGAGUGCAGGAGAGGAGAGUGGAAUUCCUAGUGUAGCGGUGAAAUGCGUAGAUAUUAGGAGGAACACCAGUUGCGAAGGCGGCUCUCUGGACUGUAACUGACGCUGAGGCACGAAAGCGUGGGGAGCAAACAGGAUUAGAUACCCUGGUAGUCCACGCUGUAAACGAUGAGUACUAGGUGUCGGGGGUUACCCCC
rnacentral:rRNA from 1 species